AGCGAACGCUGGCGGCAGGCCUAACACAUGCAAGUCGAACGAACCUUUCGGGGUUAGUGGCGGACGGGUGAGUAACACGUGGGAACGUGCCUUUAGGUUCGGAAUAACUCAGGGAAACUUGUGCUAAUACCGAAUGUGCCCUUCGGGUGAAAGAUUUAUCGCCUUUAGAGCGGCCCGCGUCUGAUUAGCUAGUUGGUUGAGGUAAUGGCUCACCAAGGCGACGAUCAGUAGCUGGUCUGAGAGGAUGAUCAGCCACAUUGGGACUGAGACACGGCCCAAACUCCUACGGGAGGCAGCAGUGGGGAAUCUUGCGCAAUGGGCGAAAGCCUGACGCAGCCAUGCCGCGUGAAUGAUGAAGGUCUUAGGAUUGUAAAAUUCUUUCACCGGGGACGAUAAUGACGGUACCCGGAGAAGAAGCCCCGGCUAACUUCGUG
rnacentral:rRNA from 1 species